AGACGAGACCAAAGGCUUGUAGGCUAAAACAUAUGAAGAAUGGUUACAAGAAUUCAGCAUGGCUAGUCUAGGGAAAGACAAGAACCAGUUGUGACAUGUUGGGACCAAGGGUACUAAAGGGCUUUGAGGGUCAUCAGGUUAAAUAGCUUAGGCUAGGUCUCUGAGAUAAGUGGCUGGACACCUAAGUGGAAAAAUUACUGAGAACCCAGCCCACAUAAAUAGCCAUGGAGAAAUCCAGCCAAGUUAUCAAGGGAAUUCCAAGGAUGAGGCUUUGCACACAGCACUAAAUCUCCGCCCUUAAGGCUCUUUGCACAGGGCACUGGGAUCUGUGCACACGACACCUUGAAUUUUGCACCAGGCACUAAGAUUCUGCACUCAGUACGUAUGGUCCCACUGUUAGGGGAUGAUAACAUGUUACCAGUUAUGUUAAAACACCAAUCAUUAUGUUAUGCUUAGCUGCACCCCCCCUUUUUGUAUACAAUAAAGGUAGCAUUCUGGCAACAGAAAAAUGCUCAUUCUACCAAGACCCUCUCGUGUUCAUUUUCCUUUCGCCUUCUGAUGGUCUUGAAUCUCGGCCCGUAGAUUGAGACCACCACAGGUUGUGGGAUCCUGAGGUCGAUCGCCACAGUGACAUGAUAGAAGUCUUCCAAUAUAUGAGAAGCUGUCACAAAAGGUGUGUGUAUAUGUGUGUGUGACAAUUUUCCAAAGCACCAGAAAGCCAGAGAAGAAACUGCGUGCACACUGAUCCAGAAGAUUCAAACUAGAAAUAAAGAGAAUUUUA